UUUUUUUUUUUUUUUUGAGACAGAGUCUCGCUCCGUCACCCAGACUGGAGUGCAGUGGCGCAGUCUCGGCUCACUGCAAACUCCGCCUCCCGGGUUCACGCCAUUCUCCUGCCUCAGCCUCUCCGAGUAGCUGGGACUACAGGCGCCCGCCAACACGCCCGGCUAAUUUUUUUGUAUUUUUAGUAGAGACGGGGUUUCACCGUGGUCUCGAUCUCCUGACCUCGUGAUCCGCCCACCUCGGCCUCCCAAAGUGCUGGGAUUACAAGCGUGAGCCACUGCGCCCGGCCUCAAUCUACGUGAUUUUUUAAGGGCAAAAUAUCACUUGUUCUAAUCACAGCUUUAAGGCACCUUCACUCAUUUAUAUUCAAGACCUUUCAAUGUCAUUAAAAACAGUUUCCUAGGACCCUUACUUUUCUGCUAACUCUAGUCUUAUAAUAUUUUUCUCUUCUGCCUGGCACUUGGUUAGAGUAUUUGUCUCCCAUAGAUACCAUUUGGCCUCGUAUUGGCUCUCAGUCUUCUUGGCUGAAGGUUCUGUUCAUGUGGCUUUUCCUUCUUCUCAUGCCUCUGGCAGAAUGCCUUGUUUUAGCUUAGGUUCUAAGAACCAUACUUCAGUAUUAGAUCACUUGGUGAGCAUCUUGGCUCUUUUCAAAAUUCCAAACCUUAUUUAGAAUAUUCAUGUGACUACGCAUGUUCAAAUUUUUUUUUUGUAAUUCCCCAGUUUCUUUCUAAAAAGAGUUAAUGAAAUGUCUGAAUGACAGAGGCAAUAAUUUUCUAUUAGUUUGUUGGCUCUUUCCUAAAAACCAGGAGAAAUUUUGCUUUCAUACUUAUUUUCUGAAUCAUAUGAAUGAAAACUACAUCAGCGUUUAUUAGGCUGGAAAUCUGUUAUCUCCCCAGGAGAAGCAACACUGCUGGGGCAUUGUGUUCCUGGUAGCUUCUACCCAGACCACACAGGAGAGAAACAGCGUGGUGGAGAAGGGAAGUGUGAACGCUGACUUCUGUGUGCCAGGAGAGCAGAAAGUGUGUGUGCUCUAAGGCCUAUCCCAAUAUGACGAAGCUACUUCGGAGUACUUUGAGAUAGUACUACUUCAUUUUAUAAACAUUUUCUGGAAUUGGUUGCA